rnacentral:snoRNA from 1 species
AUCCUUUUUGGUUCAUAAACCUGAUGAUUGGGUUGUUAUGCUGAUGUGUGAGAUGUGCAUUCUUCUAAACCUUGUUACGACAUUAUCCAUCUGAUG